rnacentral:misc_RNA from 1 species
GAAAUGCGAUAAGUAAUGUGAAUUGCAGAAUUCCGUGAAUCAUCGAAUCUUUGAACGCACAUUGCGCCCGCCAGAGUACUCUGGCGGGCAUGCCUGUUCGAGCGUCAUUUCGACCAUUGAGCCCACGGGCUCGCGUUGGGGAUCUGCGGCCGCGCGCAGGCCCCGAAAACCAGUGGCGGGCUCGCCGGUCACCCCGAGCGUAGUAGCGUCCGUUUCUCGCUCCGGGCGUGCCGCGGGUCCCGGCCGUUAAAAGGGGACGUCAAGCGUCACGUAUCCAGGUUGACCUCGGAUCAGGUAGGAGUACCCGCUGAACUUAA